rnacentral:rRNA from 1 species
CACGUGAGUAACCUGCCCUUGACUCUGGGAUAAGCGCUAGAAAUGGCGUCUAAUACCGGAUACGAGCUUCAGCCGCAUGGCUAGGAGUUGGAAAGAAUUUUGGUCAAGGAUGGACUCGCGGCCUAUCAGCUAGUUGGUGAGGUAAUGGCUCACCAAGGCGACGACGGGUAGCCGGCCUGAGAGGGUGACCGGCCACACUGGGACUGAGACACGGCCCAGACUCCUACGGGAGGCAGCAGUGGGGAAUAUUGCACAAUGGGCGAAAGCCUGAUGCAGCAACGCCGCGUGAGGGAUGACGGCCUUCGGGUUGUAAACCUCUUUUAGUAGGGAAGAAGCGAAAGUGACGGUACCUGCAGAAAAAGCACCGGCUAACUACGUGCCAGCAGCCGCGGUAAUACGUAGGGUGCAAGCGUUGUCCGGAAUUAUUGGGCGUAAAGAGCUCGUAGGCGGUUUGUCGCGUCUGCUGUGAAAUCUGGGGGCUCAACCCCCAGCCUGCAGUGGGUACGGGCAGACUAGAGUGCGGUAGGGGAGAUUGGAAUUCCUGGUGUAGCGGUGGAAUGCGCAGAUAUCAGGAGGAACACCGAUGGCGAAGGCAGAUCUCUGGGCCGUAACUGACGCUGAGGAGCGAAAGCAUGGGGAGCGAACAGGAUUAGAUACCCUGGUAGUCCAUGCCGUAAACGUUGGGAACUAGAUGUGGGGGCCAUUCCACGGUCUCCGUGUCGCAGCUAACGCAUUAAGUUCCCCGCCUGGGGAGUACGGCCGCAAGGCUAAAACUCAAAGGAAUUGACGGGGGCCCGCACAAGCGGCGGAGCAUGCGGAUUAAUUCGAUGCAACGCGAAGAACCUUACCAAGGCUUGACAUAUACCGGAAACGUCCAGAGAUGGUCGCCCCGCAAGGUCGGUAUACAGGUGGUGCAUGGUUGUCGUCAGCUCGUGUCGUGAGAUGUUGGGUUAAGUCCCGCAACGAGCGCAACCCUCGUUCUAUGUUGCCAGCACGUUAUGGUGGGAACUCAUAGGAGACUGCCGGGGUCAACUCGGAGGAAGGUGGGGAUGACGUCAAAUCAUCAUGCCCCUUAUGUCUUGGGCUUCACGCAUGCUACAAUGGCCGGUACAAAGGGCUGCGAUACCGUAAGGUGGAGCGAAUCCCAAAAAGCCGGUCUCAGUUCGGAUUGAGGUCUGCAACUCGACCUCAUGAAGUCGGAGUCGCUAGUAAUCGCAGAUCAGCAACGCUGCGGUGAAUACGUUCCCGGGCCUUGUACACACCGCCCGUCAAGUCAUGAAAGUCGGUAACACCCGAAGCCAGUGAGCCUAUC